CUGGAUUCUAGAACCCUUGUCUGAGAUAACAAUUUGCCGAUACUAUGACUUCACCAUGAGGAAUAGGAGAGCAACCAGGAGCUGCCUGUGGCCAGAGCCAUGCUGCAUUCAUCUGGGUGCCCCCAGCAUCUCUCACGGCAUCUGGCACAUGGUACUACAUAAGCAUGUGCUGAACUAGAUGAAGAAAGAAGACAGUGGUGAAAAGAUCUGAGCCACAGCAGAAGCCCCAAGUCGCCUAGAGGCAAUCAAAGCGAGAGUGGGAUGUCAUGAUGUGACAAUGAGUUAUGACCCAUGAGCCCUCCUUCCUACAAUGCUCAGUAAUCUCAAAGCUGAAACAGCACUAUGCCAGAGAUGAAAAAUCGACAUUUCUGUCUGGAUCCUAAGAUCUGAAAGUGGAAAAGUAAUACAAGGCAGUGAGGAGUCUAGAAAAUAGGUCUCCUCAAAAUGGGUAAAGGAUCUGGAAAUGUUGAAUCUGGAGAAGAAAAAUCUAAGGGAAGAAACAAUUACUGUUGGUUUACUUGUUCACUCAUUCUUUCAUUUAUGUCUCGUCUUUAAGUUUUGGCUCAAAUGUCAUUUCUAUUUCUAUCAUAACCACCCUAGUUAAAACUGUAUCCACUCCUAGAAUUCCUAACAUGCCACCUCCUGCUCCAUUUUUAUAGCAUUUAUCAUCUUUAGUAUACUACAUCAUUUUCUUACUGAUAUAGUCAAAAAGAUUACAUUUAGAGUCUGUUCCUCUCCCCGAAACUGAAUGCAAGGGCAGGGGAUUCUGUGUGUUUGAGUCACUGCUGUGCUCCAGCAUCUAGAACAGUGCCUGGCUCUAGUAGUGGGCAUCUGAUGACUAAAGGAAUGAAUGAAUCCAAACCUUUGGAACCUGAGGUACCCGGAUAGGAGCCAAAUGCUGAAAAUCUGCAAGUUUCUAAAGAGAAAAUACAUCCUUACCCAAAACUUACCCGCUUCUCCUUGAGUGCUGGGCUGUCA
rnacentral:lncRNA from 1 species